GGGGGGUGCAAGCGUUGUUCGGAAUUAUUGGGCGUAAAGCGCGUGUAGGCGGUCUGAUUAGUCUGAUGUGAAAGCCCUGGGCUCAACCCAGGAAGUGCAUUGGAUACUGUCAGACUUGAAUACGGGAGAGGGUAGUGGAAUUCCUAGUGUAGGAGUGAAAUCCGUAGAUAUUAGGAGGAACACCGGUGGCGAAGGCGGCUACCUGGACCGAUAUUGACGCUGAGACGCGAAAGCGUGGGUAGCAAACAGGAUUAGAUACCCUGGUAGUCCACGCCGUAAACGAUGAGUACUAGGUGUUGCGGGUAUUGACCCCUGCAGUGCCGCAGCUAACGCAUUAAGUGCCCCGCCUGGGGAGUACGGCCGCAAGGCU
rnacentral:rRNA from 1 species